rnacentral:rRNA from 1 species
GUGCCAGCAGCCGCGGUAAAACGUAGGGGACGAGCGUUAUCCGGAUUUACUGGGCGUAAAGCGCAUGUAGGUGGCGCGGAAAGUUGGACGUGAAAGCUCCCGGCUUAACUGGGAGAGGUCGUACAAAACUACCGAGCUUGAGGUUGGAAGAGGAGAGCGGAAUUCCCGGUGUAGUGGUGGAAUGCGUAGAUAUCGGGAGGAACACCAGUGGCGAAAGCGGCUCUCUGGUUCAAUACUGACACUGAGAUGCGAAAGCGUGGGGAGCGAACGGGAUUAGAUACCCUUGUAGUCC